rnacentral:rRNA from 1 species
UACGUAGGGUGCGAGCGUUGUCCGGAAUUAUUGGGCGUAAAGAGCUUGUAGGCGGUUUGUCGCGUCUGCCGUGAAAAUCCGAGGCUCAACCUCGGACUUGCGGUGGGUACGGGCAGACUAGAGUGUGGUAGGGGAGACUGGAAUUCCUGGUGUAGCGGUGAAAUGCGCAGAUAUCAUGAGGAACACCGAUGGCGAAGGCAGGUCUCUGGGCCACUACUGACGCUGAGAAGCGAAAGCAUGGGGAGCGAACAGG